rnacentral:rRNA from 1 species
UAUGUUAGCUUGCUWAUAUAUUUAGUAGCAAAUGGGUGAGUAACACGUACCUAACCUACCUUUUGGACCGGGAUAACUAUUGGAAACAGCAGCUAAUACCGGAUAAAAUAAAAAAAUGCAUGUUUUUUUAUUAAAAGGAGCCUUUAAAGCUCCACCAAAAAAUGGGGGUGCGCAACAUUAGUUAGUUGGUAGGGUAAAGGCUUACCAAGACGAUGAUGUUUAGCGGGGCCAAGAGGCUGUACCGCCACACUGGGAUUGAGAUACGGCCCAGACUCCUACGGGAGGCAGCAGUAAGGAAUAUUCCACAAUGAGCGAAAGCUUGAUGGAGCGACACAGAGUGCAG